rfam:Triticum aestivum genome assembly, contig: Triticum_aestivum_CS42_TGACv1_scaffold_456940_5DS
CUCAUACUCCCUCCGUCCCAAAAUUCUUAUCUUAGAUUUGUCUAGAUACGGAUGUACCUAGAUACAUCCGUAUCUAGACAAAUCUAAGACAAAAAUUUUAGGACGGAGGGAGUAUUUU